rnacentral:rRNA from 1 species
AUGAAUUGUUUAAGUUGGAACUGUCGGGGUGUUGGGAACAAACCGACAGUUCGGGAUUUGGUGGCUUUGGUUAGGGCUACUGAAUCAAAGAUUGUGUUCCUGUGUGAGACUAGACAAAGUGCAGAAAAAGUCCGUCGUCUUCGUGCUAGAUUGGGUCUUAGAGGUUUUGCUGGUGUCGACAGUGUUGGGCUUAGUGGGGGUCUUGCUUUGUUUUGGUGUGAUCAGAUGUAC